GAUUUUGUCUACAGCAACAUACCAAAAAACACACAUGUGCUCAAACCGGAAGAAAAUUGCAGAUUAUGUCAUGCAAAGAAAUUCAAGUAUGAAACUAAGGGGUUAUCCUGCAGAAAAGGACAGAUAAGACUAGCCAAUCCAGAUACACCACCUGAACGCAUGAGACUUUGGACAAGCAACGACUCUGAUGCAAGACAUUUUUGGCAAAAUAUAAGAUAUUUCAAUGGACACUUCUCAUUUACUACUUUAUACUGUCACCUUGACAAAGACACAACUGACAUGCGAACAACUGGUAUUUACACCUUUCGAGCUCAUGGUCAGAUCUAUCACAACAUACAUUCAUUUGGUAAUAGUCACUUAGAUCCAAAGCAUUUGGAGCUAUACUUCUACAACGAUGAUCCAAGCUUAGAGCAUCGAUAUCGCCAUUGCCGCGAGGAAAUGUACGAGCAAGAGAAGCAUGUGAUUUUGUCUACAGCAACAUACCAAAAAUCACACAUGUGCUCAAACUGGCAGAAAAUUGCAGAUUAUGACAUGGAAAAAAAAUAA
rnacentral:rRNA from 1 species